GUGGGGAAUAUUGGGCAAUGGGGGCAACCCUGACCCAGCAACGCCGCGUGAAGGAAGAAGGUUUUCGGAUCGUAAACUUCUAUCCUUGGUGAAGAUAAUGACGGUAGCCAAGAAGGAAGCCCCGGCUAACUACGUGCCAGCAGCCGCGGUAAUACGUAGGGGGCAAGCGUUGUCCGGAAUGAUUGGGCGUAAAGGGCGCGUAGGCGGCCUGGUAAGUCUGGAGUGAAAGUCCUGCUUUUAAGGUGGGAAUUGCUUUGGAUACUGUCGGGCUUGAGUGCAGGAGAGGUAAGUGGAAUUCCCGGUGUAGCGGUGAAAUGCGUAGAGAUCGGGAGGAACACCAGAGGCGAAGGCGACUUACUGGACUGUAACUGACGCUGAGGCGCGAAAGUGUGGGGAGCAAACAGGAUUAGAUACCCGGGUAGUCC
rnacentral:rRNA from 1 species